rnacentral:rRNA from 1 species
GACGAACGCUGGCGGCGUGCUUAACACAUGCAAGUCGAACGGAAAGGCCUCUUUCGGGGGGUACUCGAGUGGCGAACGGGUGAGUAACACGUGAGUAACCUGCCCUUGACUUUGGGAUAACUUCAGGAAACUGGGGCUAAUACCGGAUAGGAGCUCCUGCUGCAUGGUGGGGGUUGGAGAGUUUCGGCGGUUGGGGAUGGACUCGCGGCUUAUCGGCUUGUUGGUGGGGUAGUGGCUUACCAAGGCGUUGACGGGUAGCCGGCCAGAGAGGGUGACCGGCCACACUGGGACUGAGGUGCGGCCCAGACGCCUACGGGUGGCAGCAGUGGGGAAGAUUGCACAAGGGGUGGAAGCCGGAUGCAGCAACGCCGUGUGCGGGAUGACGGCCUUCGGGUUGUAAACCGCUUUCGCUCAUGACGAAGCUUUGUGUGACGGUAGUGGGUAAAGAAGCACCGGCUAACUACGUG